UACGUAGGUGGCAAGCGUUAUCCGGAUUUACUGGGUGUAAAGGGCGUGUAGGCGGGGAAGCAAGUCAGAUGUGAAAACCACGGGCUCAACCUGUGGCCUGCAUUUGAAACUGUUUUUCUUGAGUGCUGGAGAGGCAAUCGGAAUUCCGUGUGUAGCGGUGAAAUGCGUAGAUAUAUGGAGGAACACCGGUGGCGAAAGCGGCUCUCUGGCCUGUAACUGACACUGAGGCUCGAAAGCGUGGGGAGCAAACAGG
rnacentral:rRNA from 1 species